GGCCCGCUGGCCAAAUGGUAAGGCGUCAGAUUUCGGUGUUUUCUUUAAAAAAAAGCUAGAAAUAUCUCUGAAGAUUGGGCGUUCGAGCCGCCCGUGGGUCG
rfam:Sordaria macrospora k-hell, WGS project CABT02000000 data, contig: 2.14